GCUGGAGUAGCUCAGUUGGUAGAGCACAUCACUCGUAAUGAUGGGGUCAGGGGUUCGACUCCCCUCUCCAGCUCCA
rnacentral:tRNA from 1 species